rnacentral:rRNA from 1 species
AAACACAGCACUCUGCUAACUCGUAAGAGGAUGUAUAGGGUGUGACGCCUGCCCGGUGCUCGAAGGUUAAUUGAUGGGGUUAGCAUUAGCGAAGCUCUUGAUCGAAGCCCGAGUAAACGGCGGCCGUAACUAUAACGGUCCUAAGGUAGCGAAAUUCCUUGUCGGUUAAAUACCGACCUGCAUGAAUGGCGUAACGAGAUGGGAGCUGUCUCAAAGAGGGAUCCAGUGAAAUUGUAGUGGAGGUGAAAAUUCCUCCUACCCGCGGCAAGACGGAAAGACCCCGUGGACCUUUACUACAGCUUGACACUGCUACUUGGAUAAGAAUGUGCAGGAUAGGUGGGAGGCUUUGAGUAUAUGACGCCAGUUGUAUAUGAGCCAUUGUUGAGAUACCACUCUUUCUUAUUUGGGUAGCUAACCAGCUUGAGUUAUCCUCAAGUGGGACAAUGUCUGGUGGGUAGUUUGACUGGGGCGGUCGCCUCCCAAAUAAUAACGGAGGCUUACAAAGGUUGGCUCAGAACGGUUGGAAAUCGUUCGUAGAGUAUAAAGGUAUAAGCCAGCUUAACUGCAAGACAUACAAGUCAAGCAGAGACGAAAGUCGGUCUUAGUGAUCCGGUGGUUCUGUGUGGAAGGGCCAUCGCUCAAAGGAUAAAAGGUACCCCGGGGAUAACAGGCUGAUCUCCCCCAAGAGCUCACAUCGACGGGGAGGUUUGGCACCUCGAUGUCGGCUCAUCGCAUCCUGGGGCUGGAGCAGGUCCCAAGGGUAUGGCUGUUCGCCAUUUAAAGCGGUACGCGAGCUGGGUUCAGAACGUCGUGAGACAGUUCGGUCCCUAUCUGCCGUGGGCGUAAGAAGAUUGAAGAGAUUUGACCCUAGUACGAGAGGACCGGGUUGAACAAACCACUGGUGUAGCUGUUGUUCUGCCAAGAGCAUCGCAGCGUAGCUAAGUUUGGAAAGGAUAAACGCUGAAAGCAUCUAAGCGUGAAGCCAACUCUAAGAUGAAUCUUCUCUAAGCUCUCUAGAAGACUACUAGUUUGAUAGGCUGGGUGUGUAAUGGAUGAAAGUCCUUUAGCUGACCAGUACUAAUAGAGCGUUUGGCUUAUCUUUAAUAAAGCAU